CAGUUCACUGGUGAUCGUUUCCUACCCCAGCUGGGGUCCCUCCCUCGGAGGAGCUGGACUCUGCCUCGAGACACUCCCCCUUCCUUGCACCAGCCAGCCUGGCUUUCAGCGAGGCUGCCCAGCGCAUAGCCAGCCUCCAGUCCCGCCCUUCCCGCUUUGCAGGGCUUGCAGGUGUGGCGGGUGGGGCCGGGUGCCGCCUUCCCGCGCUCACCGGGGGUUCCCGCCAAGGCUGGCUCACGCAGGCUCCAGGAUCUGCGGGUCUCGUGGCGGCCGCGGCGGCGACUAGCGAACUCUCUGGUAGCCAAGUGGACGCGGCUGGGAAAGUAGGCCUCGCGUCCGCUGGGGUGCGCUAUGAGCCGAAUCGGCUCCGGGAGCGCGCAAAAUUGACUGUGGGUGUGUUUGCAGUGUCCUGCCCCAGGAAGGAGAAAGUCGUGGUGUGGGAGACCCCUCUCAAGCCCAGAAGCAGAAAGAUUUUCCAGAAGAAAACAGUAUCCCAAAUGGGUUCCAGUGACUUCCAACUUCUGCUCCUCCAUGUAACUUUCUCUUCAUAAAAUUUCCAAUAAUAGGAUUAAGGCCCAACCUCAUUCAAUUGGCCACAACUUAACUAAAAAAAAAUCUUUAAAAGUUCCCAUUUUCAAUGGGUUCACACCCAUAGGAAUGGAUUAAGAUUAAGAACAUGUUUGUUUCCCUAUCCCCUCCCCUGGGGCAGAUAAUUCAGCCUACCACAGUGUAUUGGAUUGAUUGACUGCAUUUCUGGAUUACAUCCCACUUGGAGUAUUAUUACUUUUAAAUAA